rnacentral:lncRNA from 1 species
AUUUUACUUAAUUUUCUAUAGGAUAGCUUUGAAAAUGAGUCUUAUAAAAUUUUGUUGAACUCAGAAGAACCACUUCCUCCUUCGAGUGGCACGUUGGCAAUGUCGGCAACAAGAGUUGAAAAUGAAAACAAUAUUUUGCAUAAAGAUAAGAUGGGUGAGGCAAAUACUACAAACGAUCCUGCUUUGUGGGCUGAAAAUAUGUCCAAAGUAGAACGCGAUGCAGUUGUUCUUCAGGGGCCUCCUAAAAAUCCUUUAUCUUUUCCGAGAGACUCGAACAAGAUUAAGGUUCCUAAAUCAGUUUUCCACGAAAUAACUCGUAAUGGGGAGAAAAUAAACAGAGAUUGGCUUGUUUGGAGUGCUACUUCAAAAUCAUUUCUUUGCUUUCCGUGCUCACUUUUCGGAAGCAAACAAGCCUGCGGGGCUGAUAAUAAUUCACAUCUUCUACGAAUGGUGAAUCAAAUGGAAUGGUGGCAUCAAUGGAAAUUGGAGAAAGCUAGCUGAAAAAGUAAAAAGCCACCAAAACAAUCCUUACCAUCGAGACAACUACAUUAAGUGGAAAACAAAUUAAUGUGGGAUUGAUUCAAGUUUAGAAAAAUUGAUAAGAAAUGAGACAGCCGGGUGGCGUGAAAUUUUAAAGUGCGUUUUAGAUGUAAUUCUCUUCUUAGCAUCACGCAACCUUAGCUUCAGUGGCUCAUCAAAAAUGAUCGGUGAUAACGAUAACGGCAAUUUUCUUGCAAAUCUAGAGCUACUCGCAAAGCACAACAAGAUUCUUUAGUUACAUCUAGAAGAGGUUUCUCGCUGCCAACAAGAAGGUAAUCAAAUUAUUGCGCAUUAUUUGGGUUGGAGUUCUCAAAAUGAAUUUAUAAAAGAGUGCGGAAGAAUCGUCUACGGUGCCAUCAUUAAAGAGGCGCAUAUGGCAAUUUACUAUUCUAUUCUUGUUGACGGAACGCCUGACGUCUCUCAUACUGAGCAAAUUGCAUUUGUUCUCCGCUUUGUCUACUAUGGUAUUGAAAAAAAAUGGGUAGUUAAGGAGCGCUUUCUUGGGGUCGAAAGUCUUGAUAAAAAGAAAGGUGUGGAUAUUGCUAAGCUAAUUAUAGAUGUCUUAGAUCAAAAUUACAUUGAUCUGAAGAACUGUCGAGGUCAGGGAUAUGACAACGGUGCUAAUAUGUCUGGUGUUACAUAGGAGUACAAGCGAUCAUUCUUCAGAGAAAUCCUCAAGCUUUCUACAUGCCAUGCAGCACUCAUAACCUUAAUUUAGCUGGUGUUCAUUCCCUUGAUUCUUCUGUAGAAAUGAAGAACUAUUUCGGUCGUAUUCAGUUACUCUACAAUCUUUUUAGUGGAAGCCCUAUACGAUGAAAAAUGUUGACCGAGAUGACUGGUUUGUCUCUACAUCAAACUUCACAAACCCGAUGGAGUGCACGCAUUGAGGCUGUGAAGCCUUUGGUUAAGCAACCCAGAGAAAUCCUUUUAUCUUUGCAGAAACUUCGUGAUCUUGAUUUAACUGCUGAUCUAUUGAUUGACGUAAAAUCUUUAGAGAAAUGGAUUCAGUUAUUUGAGUUUAUUAUCAUGACAACCUUCUGGUUCAAAGCGCUUCAAGCAAUAAACUAUGUCAGCGUGUCAUUUCAAUCAGAAGACAUUACUUUAGAUGAUGAGAUGAAACUUAUGAAGAUUCUUAUCGAGGAUCUUACUAGACUUAGAUCUUCUUGGCCCGAAUUAAUUAAUGAAGCACAUUUAGUUGCCUCCGGUCUAGCUAGUUAUGGGUUUCAGUCAAAACUAGUUCAAAAAAGGACAAGAAAGAGGAAAACUUUUUCAUCAGAAUACUCUGAAGCGUGCCAAUCUUUUCGGUCCAAAAGAAUAUCUCACUUCAAUGAAACUAUUAAAUGGAAUCUAUCAAAAAGGUCUAGAGUCUAUCUUCGAAUCAACAUGCAUUUUAUUACGUAUUUUUAACAUAAUUCCCGUUUCCAUCGCCGAAGGAGAGCGGUCUUUCAGCAAGCUUGGUCUAGUCAAGACAACACUAAGAUCUACAAUGAGUCAAGACCGGCUUACCAAUCUCUUAGUUAUAUCUAUUGAGCACGAUCUAGCAAAAAGUCUGUGCUACGACGAGGUCAUUGCAAAUUUUGCUUUAAAUAAAGCCUGGAGAGUCAAAUUCUUAUAAAGCAUUUAAAAUAUCUAUUACAUUUAAAAUUUACAGUUGCUCGCAAUAUAAUAAAGUUCAUUUGACAA